UGUGGUUCAUCUGCCCUGACACCCUCGAGAACACAGUUUAUUCUGAGGCUGCGUUUUGUCAAUGGCUUAUCUUAUCUUACUUAUCUGGUAUCUUAUCUGGGGAAAGUGCUGACCCAUUUCGACCUGGGUUUGGAUGGGGAGGGUUUGAGUAGCCCUUAUCUGCGUGUGAUGACUGGUGACCCAAUGUUUGUAGCUAGCGAUGACGUUACGGGGACACUAGGAUCGGUAUUAAAAGACACCUUGGGUUCCCACAUCAGCUAUUUCUAAAGGUCAAAGAGGGGGUCAGUCGGGUUCUAAUGAGUGUUUCUUUAGCUUCAUGGUACAGGUGAAGGGUCAAACUAACACCAGGGCCAUAAAACUACUCCUGGAAAUGCAUACAACUCCUACGAAAGCCUUGUCAAAUAUGUGUUCUUGGGCGGCGAAAUGUCUUAUGAUACGAUCCUAGGCUAGACCUCCCUCGACACUCCUGACGAUGACCUAGUUUGAUUUUUACCUCUAUGAUCACAUCCCAUUUACAGAUCUUUUGACUGUAUAAAGAGCUGUGUGGCGGCUCCCUCUCUUCUCGUGUUAUCUAUAUAGUUAUCUGUUUGUAUGUGAGGUAGAUACGGGUCUGUGAGGAUAGGCUAUCGUGACUCAGGGCUGCAUGAUCCAGGUGGUGGUGGUGGUGGUGGUGAUGGUGGUGGUAGACGGAGGCAUAUCCCUGAUCAGUGUAGAGUUCGGCACCCGGCCCAGUCCAGUCCAGUCUAGGGGCCGCAUUUCGGAGCCAACACCCACACAUUUAACAAAGCUUUCAUAAGAGUUUGAGGCAUUUCCAGGGCCGCAUUUCGGAGCCAACACCCACACAUUUAACAAAGCUUUCAUAAGAGUUUGAGGCAUUUCCAGGGCCGCAUUUCGGAGCCAACGCCCACACAUUUAACAAAGCUUUCAUAACAGUUUGAGGCAUUUCCAGGGCCGCAUUUCGGAGCCAACACCCACACAUUUAACAAAGCUUUCAUAAGAGUUUGAGGCAUUUCCAGGGCCGCAUUUCGGAGCCAACGCCCACACAUUUAACAAAGCUUUCAUAAGAGUUUGAGGCAUUUCCAGACAGACGGCAGAUGGAGUUCAAUGUAGGGAAGUGCAGUAUUUUGAGUGUAGGUAGGAACAACCCCUCACAUAACUAUUGUUUAAAAUGACACUCCCAUAAGCAGGUCUGGGUGCGAGAGGAACUUAGGGGUGUUAGUGACCUCUGAUAUCCAUCCAAGGGCGCAAUGCAUUCAAGCUAGAAAUCGAGCAAAGAGGGUACUGGAAUUUAUUUCAAGGAGCGUGCGCAACAGAAGCGCCGAAGUCUUCCUCAAACUAUAUUUAGCAUUAGUUAGACCUCAUCUUGAUUAUGCGGUUCAGUUCUGGUCACCCUACUAUAGAAUGGAUAUCAAAAUGGCCGACAAUCAUGAUCCACCGGGA